AGCCUCGUAGCUCAUCUGGUAGAGCGUGCGCGUAAAAUGCAUAGGCAGCGUCCAUGCGUGGAUUCGAAUCCCACCGAGGCUA
rfam:Echinostoma caproni strain Egypt genome assembly, scaffold: ECPE_scaffold0000850